AUUGAACGCUGGCGGCAGGCCUAACACAUGCAAGUCGAGCGGAGCGGCGGACGGGUGCGUAAUGCCUAGGUAUCUGCCUGGUAGUGGGGGAUAACGUCCGGAACCGGGCGCUAAUACCGCAUACUAUCAGAUGAGCCUAGGUCGGCUUAGCUAGUUGGUGGGGUAAAGGCCUACCAAGGCGACGAUCCGUAACUGGUCUGAGAGGAUGAUCAGUCACACUGGAACUGAGACACGGGCCAGACUCCUACGGGAGGCAGCAGUGGGGAAUAUUGGACAAUGGGCGAAAGCCUGAUGCAGCCAUGCCGCGUGUAUGAAGAAGGUCUUCGGGUUGUAAAGCACUUUCAGUCGGGAGGCGUUACCGGCAGAAGAAGCACCGGCUAACUCCGUGCCAGCAGCCGCGGUAAUAC
rnacentral:rRNA from 1 species